GAGGAUAUAGCUCAGUGGUAGAGUGCAUGCUUAGCAUGCAUGAGGUCUUGGAUUCAAUCCCCAGUACUUCCU
rnacentral:tRNA from 1 species